rnacentral:tRNA from 1 species
UGGUUCAGUUGGUAGAACAUGAGGCUCUUGAUCUCAGGGUUGUGAGUUCAAGCCCCAC